rnacentral:rRNA from 1 species
GCGGAAUGGCCUCGCGUAUGCCUGGAGAUUAGAGUUUGAUCCUGGCUCAGAUUGAACGCUGGCGGCAGGCCUAACACAUGCAAGUCGAGCGGUAACAGAAAGUAGCUUGCUACUUUGCUGACGAGCGGCGGACGGGUGAGUAAUGCUUGGGAACAUGCCUUGAGGUGGGGGACAACAGUUGGAAACGACUGCUAAUACCGCAUAAUGUCUACAGACCAAAGGGGGCUUCAGCUCUCGCCUUUAGAUUGAUCCAAGUGUGAUUAGCUAGUUGGUGAGGUAAUGGCUCACCAAGGCGACGAUCCCUAGCUGGUUUGAGAGGAUGAUCAGCCACACUGGGACUGACACACGGCCCAGACUCCUACGGGAGGCAGCAGUGGGGAAUAUUGCACAAUGGGCGCAAGCCUGAUGCAGCCAUGCCGCGUGUGUGAAGAAGGCCUUCGGGUUGUAAAGCACUUUCAGUCAGGAGGAAAGGGAUGUAGUUAAUACCUGCAUCCUGUGACGUUACUGACAGAAGAAGCACCGGCUAACUCCGUGCCAGCCGCCGCGGUAA